rnacentral:rRNA from 1 species
GAUCGAACCGCUAGCUACCAGGACUUAACACAUGCAAGUCGAGGGCAGCAUGGAACUUAGCUUGCUAAGUUUGAUGGCGACCGGCGCACGGGUGAGUAACACGUAUCCAACCUUCCGUUUACUCAGGGAUAGCCUUUCGAAAGAAAGAUUAAUACCUGAUAGUAUGGUGAGAUUGCAUGAUAACACCAUUAAAGAUUUAUUGGUAAACGAUGGGGAUGCGUUCCAUUAGGUAGUAGGCGGGUAACGGCCCACCUAGCCGACGAUGGAUAGGGGUUCUGAGAGGAAGGUCCCCCACAUUGGAACUGAGACACGGUCCAAACUCCUACGGGAGGCAGCAGUGAGGAAUAUUGGUCAAUGGGCGAGAGCCUGAACCAGCCAAGUAGCGUGAAGGAUGAAGGUCCUACGGAUUGUAAACUUCUUUUAUACGGGAAUAAAGUUUCCUGCGUGUAGGAUUUUGUAUGUACCGUAUGAAUAAGCAUCGGCUAA